rnacentral:rRNA from 1 species
UAAGUAGGUAGUGAAAUCGUGUGGCUCAACCAUGCUCACAUUACCUAAACUGCUCAGCUAGAGGAUGAGAGAGGUCGUUGGAAUUCCUAGUGUAGGAGUGAAAUCCGUAGAUAUUAGGAGGAACACCGAUGGCGUAGGCAGACGACUGGCUCAUUCCUGACACUAAGGCACGAAAGCGUGGGAGCAAACGGGAUUAGAUACCCCGGUAGUCCACGCCGUAAACUAUGGAUGCUA